GACGAACGCUGGCGGCGUGCCUAACACAUGCAAGUCGAACGGAAGUAAGUGCUUCGGUAUUUACUUUAGUGGCGAACGGGUGAGUAACACGUGGGGAACCUGCCCCUAAGUCUGGGAUACCAUUUGGAAACUGGUGCUAAUACCGGAUAAUAAAGCAGAUCGCAUGAUCAGCUUUUGAAAGGCGGCGUAAGCUGUCGCUAAGGGAUGGCCCCGCGGUGCAUUAGCUAGUUGGUAAGGUAACGGCUUACCAAGGCGACGAUGCAUAGCCGAGUUGAGAGACUGAUCGGCCACAUUGGGACUGAGACACGGCCCAA
rnacentral:rRNA from 1 species